GACGAACGCUGGCGGCGUGCUUAACACAUGCAAGUCGAACGGAAAGGCCCUGCUUUUGUGGGGUGCUCGAGUGGCGAACGGGUGAGUAACACGUGAGUAACCUGCCCUUGACUGUGGGAUAACUUCAGGAAACUGGGGCUAAUACCGGAUAGGAGCUCCUGCUGCAUGGUGGGGGUUGGAAAGUUUCGGCGGUUGGGGAUGGACUCGCGGCUUAUCAGCUUGUUGGUGGGGUAGUGGCUUACCAAGGCUUUGACGGGUAGCCGGCCUGAGAGGGUGACCGGCCACAUUGGGACUGGGAUACGGCCCAGACUCCUACGGGAGGCAGCAGUGGGGAAUAUUGCACUAUGGGCGGAAGCCUGAUGCAGCAACGCCGCGUGCGGGAUGACGGCCUUCGGGUUGUAAACCGCUUUCGCCUGUGACGAAGCGUGAGUGACGGUAAUGGGUAAAGAAGCACCGGCUAACUACGUG
rnacentral:rRNA from 1 species